AUGAAAGGAAAAACGAUUUAUCAACUGUUUCCAUUAAACCUACAUAAAUUACUUCUCAUGUAAAAAUACAUUAACAAUACAGUAAGACGACAAGACCCUGAUGAACUUUAACUGACAGUUACGCUGGGGCGGCACAAAACAAAAUCUUUAAUGCCUACUAAAUAAAAGCAAAAAUAGAAUGAAACAAGUUACCACAGGGAUAACAGCAUGAUAGUUUAAUAAAGCCCUUAUUAAAUAAACUGAUUAUGACCUCGAUGUUGAAUUAAUCCUCUCCUUUUAGAAAAAAAAAAGAAAGAAAGUCUGUUCGACUUAUUACAAAUUACAU
rnacentral:rRNA from 1 species